ACCACAGUAACUACUACCAGUCGAUUUUGUCUACAUCAAGUGAAUCUCCACACACUUCUGUAAAGUUUGAUGUGGCAAAAUAUUGUAGAGUGAUGAGCACUUGCAGUAAAGAUGUUAGUGUACCUGCCCGACUGGUGACAGCGAUCUCGCAUGCUUCAGUGGGCCGCAACAUCUUGCCAGCAGACCCAGUUUUGGACAGCCCCCACCCCCUCAGUUGGACCCAAAAAAUUUGGAUUACGAUAGUCAAUAGACAACAGCUUUUCAUCCUUUGAGACACGGUUCAUUGUUAGCAUUAGCUCAGACAGAAAUGUAGAAAAAUAUUGCAAUAACUUCAAUGUUUACAUUUUUUUUUUUCCAUAUGAAAAAUCAGAGGUUCAUAUUGUGAUUUGCAUAUAAUUUAGGACAUGUAUUUUUAAUUAACACUGUAUUAGUCUUAUUGCCUCCAAAAUGCUCUGAUUUUUCAAAAAUAAUGAUUUAUAUUGCUCACUUCCAUCUUCGUUUGGUAAAACUUUUAAUAACAAAGCUACAUAUUCCUUAUUCCUCUUAAAUUCAAAGAUGCAUUGCUUUUCAGAAAUACAAUACACAGUGUCUACAGUUUUAAAAAAUAAGCUUCAUAUCUGGUGUGGCAUUUGUAUUUAAACAUCAAUAAGAUGUUGGCAAUGUUACAGGUUUAAGGAAAGGCAAGGGGAGUAGCAUUUGUCUAUUGAACAAAAUUACAUCCCUAACAUAAAGCUGUAAUAAUUUAUGGAUUAUUUUUAUCAAAAAAGGCGAUCAUGAAUUGACAUUGUUGAUCUUUUUUUUAAAGGGCAUCUUUAACAAUGCAAAAUAAAGACCAAAGUCACUUCUUAUAAAUGGUGCUACUAAACGCACGAUAUUGUAUGCUUUUCAUUUUUUCAUUUCAAAAUGUUCCAGAAAAUAAUUUUAGGCCAUGUGCAUUUUACAAUAACACCAAGAAAUAUAUAUUAGUUUUACAAGAUCUUGUGACAAAGAUGUAAAGUACUUUAGUUGGCCUAUUGAUAUUCUUAUAAUGCCAGCACCCCCACCAUACCUGGUUGGUUGUAGAAAACAAUGCCAAUGUUUGUGCUUUGCUUGUCACAAAAUAUAUCCCUUUGGAUUACAAUUUUAUGUGGUGAUUCUGAGGUAAUCAGGCAAAAUAGACAAAAACCCUUUUUUGUC